rnacentral:rRNA from 1 species
UUCGGGCAGAUGUGUAGGUGCUGCAUGGUUGUCGUCAGCUCGUGCCGUGAGGUGUCGGCUUAAGUGCCAUACGAGCGCAACCCUCAUCAUUAGUUACCAUCAGGUAAGGCUGGGGACUCUAAUGAGACUGCCAUCGUAAGAUGUGAGGAAGGUGGGGAUGACGUCAAAUCAGCACGGCCCUUACGUCCGGGGCGACACACGUGUUACAAUGGGUGGUACAAAGGGCAGCUACCUGGCGACAGGAUGCUAAUCUCCAAAACCACUCUCAGUUCGGAUCGGAGUCUGCAACUCGACUCCGUGAAGCUGGAUUCGCUAGUAAUCGCGCAUCAGCCACGGCGCGGUGAAUACGUUCCCGGGCCUU